rnacentral:rRNA from 1 species
CAGUAGCCGCGGGAAUACGAAGGGGGCUAGCGUUGUUCGGAUUUACUGGGCGUAAAGGGUGCGUAGGCGGAUUGUUAAGUCAGGGGUGAAAUCCCGAGGCUCAACCUCGGAACUGCCUUUGAUACUGGCGAUCUUGAGUUCGGGAGAGGUGAGUGGAACUGCGAGUGUAGAGGUGAAAUUCGUAGAUAUUCGCAAGAACACCGGUGGCGAAGGCGGCUCACUGGCCCGGAACUGACGCUGAGGCACGAAAGCGUGGGGAGCAAACAGGAUUAGAUACCCCAGUAGUCCCUGUCUCUUAUAC